AGAGUUUGAUCCUGGCUCAGGACGAACGCUGGCGGCGUGCUUAACACAUGCAAGUCGAACGGAAGUUACGAGGAAGCUUGCGAAUUGUAACUUUAGUGGCGGACGGGUGAGUAACGCGUGGAUAACCUGCCUACAUGCCUGGGACAACACCGGGAAACUGGUGCUAAUACCGGAUACGCUCACAUAUGCACAUGCAUAAGUGAGGAAAGGAGAAAUCCGCAUAUAGAUGGGUCCGCGUCCCAUUAGCUAGUUGGGGGUGUAAAAGACCACCAAGGCGGCGAUGGGUAGCCGGCCUGAGAGGGUGGACGGCCACACUGGAACUGAGACACGGUCCAGACUCCUACGGGAGGCAGCAGUGGGGAAUCUUCCGCAAUGGGCGAAAGCCUGACGGAGCAACGCCGCGUGAGUGAAGAAGGCCUUCGGGUCGUAAAACUCUGUCUUCAGGGAAGAAAAAAAUGACGGUACCUGAGGAGGAAGCCCCGGCUAACUACGUGCCAGCAGCCGCGGUAAAACGUAGGGGGCGAGCGUUGUCCGGAAUUACUGGGCGUAAAGGGCGCGUAGGCGGUUAUUUAAGUCAGAGGUGAAAACUACCGGCUCAACCGGUAGCCUGCCUUUGAAACUGGAUGACUUGAGGGCAGGAGAGGGGAGUGGAAUUCCCAGUGUAGCGGUGAAAUGCGUAGAUAUUGGGAGGAACACCAGUGGCGAAGGCGGCUCUCUGGCCUGUUUCUGACGCUGAGGCGCGAAAGCGUGGGGAGCAAACGGGAUUAGAUACCCCGGUAGUCCACGCCGUAAACGAUGGGUGCUAGGUGUAGGAGGUAUCGACCCCUUCUGUGCCGUAGUUAACACAAUAAGCACCCCGCCUGGGGAGUACGGCCGCAAGGUUGAAACUCAAAGGAAUUGACGG
rnacentral:rRNA from 1 species